rnacentral:rRNA from 1 species
CGGGUGUGUAAGCGCAGCGAUGCGUUGAGCUAACCGAUACUAAUGAACCGUGAGGCUUAACCUUACAACGCCGAAGGUGUUU